rnacentral:rRNA from 1 species
CCCAGGGGAUUGCCUUCGCCAUCGGUGUUCCUCCGCAUAUCUACGCAUUUCACUGCUACACGCGGAAUUCCAUCCCCCUCUGCCGCACUCUAGCCUUGCAGUCACAAUGGCAGUUCCCAGGUUGAGCCCGGGGAUUUCACCACUGUCUUACAAAACCGCCUGCGCACGCUUUACGCCCAGUAAUUCCGAUUAACGCUUGCACCCUACGUAUUACCGCGGCUGCUGGCACGUAGUUAGCCGGUGCUUAUUCUUACGGUACCGUCAUGACCCGGGGAUAUUAGCCCCAGGCUUUUCGUUCCGUACAAAAGCAGUUUACAACCCGAGGGCCUUCAUCCUGCACGCGGCAUUGCUGGAUCAGGCUUUCGCCCAUUGUCCAAAAUUCCCCACUGCUGCCUCCCGUAGGAGUCUGGGCCGUGUCUCAGUCCCAGUGUGGCUGGUCGUCCUCUCAGACCAGCUACAGAUCGCAGGCUUGGUAAGCCUUUACCCCACCAACUACCUAAUCUGCCAUCAGCCGCUCUAGUAGCACAAGGCCCGAAGGUCCCCUGCUUUCAUCCGUAGAUCUCAUGCGGUAUUAGCUACUCUUUCGAGUAGUUAUCCCCCACUACUAGGCACGUUCCGAUGUAUUACUCACCCGUUCGCCACUCGUCAGCAUCCGAAGACCUGUUACCGUUCGACUUGCAUGUGUAAAGCAUGCCGCCAGCGUUCAAU